rnacentral:lncRNA from 1 species
GGGUCCCGCAUCUAGAAGAUUGAGUGUCCGGAAAAGAUGGCGCCGGAGCGACGACGACCCCAAUGACCCAAACAACACCUACGACCCCAAUGACCCCAUCCCAGGGGACAGGAAGCCUCACAGUGCAGGCCACAGAACAAGAGGCAACAAGGGUAGGAGAAGAACCACAUCUAAGAACUCCCUGAACCUUGAUGGUUCACUUCCUGCUGGUUCUGGUGUAGAAUGCGACAGUCUUUCGAGAGAAUGCAAGUGGAG